rnacentral:tRNA from 1 species
GGCGGCGUGGUGUAAUGGUAACACAUCUUGUCUUUGAGACCGGGCUGUCGGUGAUGAUGUCCUGGUUGUGUGAGAGGAGGUUAAGGUCUCCCUACAUCGCUCAUUUUGGUGUACACCAACUCUGGGUCGGAGUUACCUGACUGCCCCCCUUAAUAUAAGGAGGUCAAGAAAGCAAAAGGCUCUCGGUUCGAGUCCGGGCGCCGCCA